UACGAAGGGUGCAAGCGUUGUUCGGAUUUAUUGGGCGUAAAGCGCGCGCAGGCGGAUGAAGAAGUCAGAUGUGAAAACUCGGGGCUUAACCUCGAACGUGCGUCUGAAACUUUUUGUCUAGAGUGAUGGAGGGGAAAGGGGAAUUUCACGUGUAGGGGUAAAAUCCGUAGAGAUGUGAAGGAACACCGGAGGCGAAAGCGCCUUUCUGGCCAUUGACUGACGCUGAGGCGCGAGAGCAUGGGGAGCAAACAGG
rnacentral:rRNA from 1 species